AGGAAAUAAGAGAUGCAAACCACAGGUACCUUCAGGGCCAUGAAUGAAGAAUGGGAUGCUUCAAAUCUAGUGCAGCAACAAUGCAGUGAUCUUGGGCUCAAGAACAUCAAGUAAUGAUGUGCUGUGCAGGCUCGUGUUUGACGACAAAGGCCGCUUCAGCAACAAUGACAUCGCCAAGGAUGAGGACUUUGACUAUUACGAUUAUAGCGUUGAAGACCCACCAGGUUGCAGCAGGAGCAUCACAUCAAAUUUCUUGGGCUCCAGCAUGCCUUCAAGCGCGCCAGCUAAGAAUGUGACUGUGAACAAGUCUGCAUACUGGCCAAAUGCAUACUACAGGUCAAUCCCUGUCAAAAACGGCACCAAUGAUGGCUUGACUUUGCUGCCAUACAUCUGCAAUCCCAUUGCUGCCCGUGUUGCGCAGUCGCAAGGACAGGUGGCUGCUCUGAUUCCAAUCGCAGCGAUUGUUGUCGGGUCAUUUAUCCUCUUGCUUGCGGUGCUGACGGCGCUUUUCUGGAUUAUCUGGUUUCUAGUGGGCUGUUGUAGAAGGAAGAUGGUGUGAUUGGAUGCUACUUUUAUCCUUUAAGUUGACGGACUGACUGUAACUUGAAAGCUGAGUAGAUCUUGCAAUAUGACCUUGUGAAGCGAGUAUUGAAUUGUAUGCAUAAGACACAUACUUUGGCAUUUUGCUGCUGUCCAUUGAGGUCGAUGAUUGGUAAUGUCUGGAGGUGCAAAAGCUUAGAUACCUCUCUUUGGAGAUGGAGAUCCAUGUACUCAAUUCUCUCAAGAAUUAAUUGUUCUGGUGUGAACAUUCCUGUGAUGACGUUCUACGAGCGUUUACAA
rnacentral:lncRNA from 1 species